rnacentral:rRNA from 1 species
UACGAAGGGGGCUAGCGUUGUUCGGAAUCACUGGGCGUAAAGCGCACGUAGGCGGAUCUUUAAGUCAGGGGUGAAAUCCCGAGGCUCAACCUCGGAACUGCCUUUGAUACUGGGGAUCUCGAGUCCGGAGAGGUGAGUGGAACUGCGAGUGUAGAGGUGAAAUUCGUAGAUAUUCGCAAGAACACCAGUGGCGAAGGCGGCUCACUGGCCGGUACUGACGCUGAGGUGCGAAAGCGUGGGAGCAACAGG